UGGGGAAUUUUGGACAAUGGGGGAAACCCUGAUCCAGCCAUCCCGCGUGUGCGAUGAAGGCCUUCGGGUUGUAAAGCACUUUUGGCAGGAAAGAAACGUCAUGGGUUAAUACCCCGUGAAACUGACGGUACCUGCAGAAUAAGCACCGGCUAACUACGUGCCAGCAGCCGCGGUAAUACGUAGGGUGCAAGCGUUAAUCGGAUUACUGGGCGUAAAGCGUGCGCAGGCGGUUCGGAAAGAAAGAUGUGAAAUCCCAGAGCUCAACUUUGGAACUGCAUUUUUAACUACCGGGCUAGAGUGUGUCAGAGGGAGGUGUAAUUCCGCGUGUAGCAGUGAAAUGCGUAGAUAUGCGGAGGAACACCGAUGGCGAAGGCAGCCUCCUGGGAUAACACUGACGCUCAUGCACGAAAGCGUGGGGAGCAAACAGG
rnacentral:rRNA from 1 species